rnacentral:rRNA from 1 species
UACAGAGGGGGCAAGCGUUGUUCGGAAUUACUGGGCGUAAAGGGCGCGUAGGCGGCCGCCUAAGUCAGACGUGAAAUCCCUCGGCUCAACCGGGGAACUGCGUCUGAUACUGGGUGGCUUGAAUUCGGGAGAGGGAUGCGGAAUUCCAGGUGUAGCGGUGAAAUGCGUAGAUAUCUGGAGGAACACCGAUGGCGAAGGCAGCCCCCUGGGCUAACACUGACGCUCAUGCACGAAAGCGUGGGGAGCAAACAGG